CACAAAAAUUGAAAGAAGUUUUUGUUUUCUGUUCAUAACAGGUAUAUUGUAACAGGAGAUGUGGCUGGUCAUGUACGAUUUCUAGAUCAACAGCUUAGACUUACAAACUGGUACAAACACUUCAAUGCAGGGCCUAUUAGCACAGUCUCAUUUUCUUAUUCUCCAAAAACAGCUGAUGUUCAAACUCCAGAAAAUAAAACAGCAUAUCCGGCCAGUUCCACCUUAGAAGGCACCCCACAUGUUGUGAAUGACUUUGUCAUCAGUACCUCAACAGCUAAUGUAGCUUAUUUCCGUACUGAUGGAAGUACA